rnacentral:rRNA from 1 species
GGGAAUAUUGGACAAUGGGCGCAAGCCUGAUCCAGCCAUGCCGCGUGAGUGAUGACGGCCUUAGGGUUGUAAAGCUCUUUCAACGGUGAAGAUAAUGACGGUAACCGUAGAAGAAGCCCCGGCUAACUUCGUGCCAGCAGCCGCGGUAAUACGAAGGGGGCUAGCGUUGUUCGGAAUUACUGGGCGUAAAGCGCACGUAGGCGGAUACUUAAGUCAGGGGUGAAAUCCCGGGGCUCAACCCCGGAACUGCCUUUGAUACUGGGUAUCUAGAGUAUGGUAGAGGUGAGUGGAAUUCCGAGUGUAGAGGUGAAAUUCGUAGAUAUUCGGAGGAACACCAGUGGCGAAGGCGGCUCACUGGACCAU